AACAGUCAUAAAUUAUUGAAAUUUCAUUUGUCGUGAAACAAUCAUUCGGCAUGGCACUCAGAAACCAAAAUUCGACUUCCGGUUUGGCAUGGCACUCAGAAACCAAAACUGGACUUCCGGUUUAGCGGGAAGUUGUAAUUCCACCAUGACCGAAGUCGAAGACAAAGUAAGGCAACAAGACAGAAAUAUAAGUGUUGUCCCAGUAAACGUAUUCAUUUGGAAACAACUGUGUUGAGGAACUUAGACAUCGGCAACCAGUAUGCCCAUACAGCCCAAAAAGAUUUCUAAAAUUCCCCAACACUCUUUCUGAAUUUGAUGUAUUGACGGCAGUGUCGCCAGGUGAUGUAGUAGCAUGCGAUUCGCUUUGAGAAAUUACAUUUGGAUUUGCAACUUAAAGGGUAAUGG